UACGUAGGGUGCGAGCGUUAAUCGGAAUUACUGGGCGUAAAGCGUGCGCAGGCGGUUCGCUGUGUCCGAUGUGAAAGCCCCCGGGCUUAACCUGGGAAUGGCAUUGGAAACUGGCGGGCUUGAGUGCGGCAGAGGGGGGUGGAAUUCCGCGUGUAGCAGUGAAAUGCGUAGAGAUGCGGAGGAACACCGAUGGCGAAGGCAGCCCCCUGGGUCGACACUGACGCUCAGGCACGAAAGCGUGGGGAGCAAACAGG
rnacentral:rRNA from 1 species